GAGCGAGACUUCAUCCUUCUACAUUAGAAGCAUUGAUAUGCACUCAAAAUUGGUUGGUAAAUGACAAAAAAGAAGCGACUCCACUAGUCACCAUGAAUGAUGAAGAUAAUGAUGUAGAUCCAACUAUGGAGCCAUACAUAGUUGAUCUUGAUGAUUAAGGUAG